ensembl:lncRNA
AGCUAUGAUAAAUUUUUUGAUAUUUUUACUGAAAACAAGACAAAAAUACCAAGUAAUUUUUUGCAGUGUGACUCCAUUAAAUGUGUGUGUGUGUGUGUGUGUGUGUGUGUGUGUGUGUGUGUGUGUAUUAAACAUGAACGGGCCAAAACGGACAUGGCAGCAGGUCAAAAUCAAAUACAAGAACAUUCUGCAGAAUGCAGUGAAAAAGAAUACCCACAGACAAGGCACGGGUGGUGGGUCACCAAAGGCUGACCUUACCCCAGCAGAGGACAUGGCCUUGGAGCUAAAUAAAGGCAGGCCCGUCUUAGAG